AGAGUUUGAUCCUGGCUCAGGACGAACGCUGGCGGCGCGCCUAACACAUGCAAGUCGAACGAGCGAGAGAGAGCUUGCUUUCUCGAGCGAGUGGCGAACGGGUGAGUAACGCGUGAGGAACCUGCCUCAAAGAGGGGGACAACAGUUGGAAACGACUGCUAAUACCGCAUAAGCCCACGGCUCGGCAUCGAGCAGAGGGAAAAGGAGCAAUCCGCUUUGAGAUGGCCUCGCGUCCGAUUAGCUAGUUGGUGAGGUAACGGCCCACCAAGGCGACGAUCGGUAGCCGGACUGAGAGGUUGAACGGCCACAUUGGGACUGAGACACGGCCCAGACUCCUACGGGAGGCAGCAGUGGGGAAUAUUGCACAAUGGGGGAAACCCUGAUGCAGCGACGCCGCGUGGUGGAAGAAGGUCUUCGGAUUGUAAACUCCUGUUGUUGAGGAAGAUAAUGACGGUACUCAACAAGGAAGUGACGGCUAACUACGUGCCAGCAGCCGCGGUAAAACGUAGGUCACAAGCGUUGUCCGGAAUUACUGGGUGUAAAGGGAGCGCAGGCGGGAAGACAAGUUGGAAGUGAAAUCCAUGGGCUCAACCCAUGAACUGCUUUCAAAACUGUUUUUCUUGAGUAGUGCAGAGGUAGGCGGAAUUCCCGGUGUAGCGGUGGAAUGCGUAGAUAUCGGGAGGAACACCAGUGGCGAAGGCGGCCUACUGGGCACCAACUGACGCUGAGGCUCGAAAGUGUGGGUAGCAAACAGGAUUAGAUACCCUGGUAGUCCACACUGUAAACGAUGAUUACUAGGUGUUGGAGGAUUGACCCCUUCAGUGCCGCAGUUAACACAAUAAGUAAUCCACCUGGGGAGUACGACCGCAAGGUUGAAACUCAAAGGAAUUGACGGGGGCCCGCACAAGCAGUGGAGUAUGUGGUUUAAUUCGACGCAACGCGAAGAACCUUACCAAGUCUUGACAUCCUGCGACGGUGCUGGAAACAGUACUUUCCUUCGGGACGCAGAGACAGGUGGUGCAUGGUUGUCGUCAGCUCGUGUCGUGAGAUGUUGGGUUAAGUCCCGCAACGAGCGCAACCCUUAUGGUCAGUUACUACGUAAGAGGACUCUGGCCAGACUGCCGUCGACAAAACGGAGGAAGGUGGGGAUGACGUCAAAUCAUCAUGCCCUUUAUGACUUGGGCUACACACGUACUACAAUGGCGUUAAACAAAGAGAAGCAAGACCGCGAGGUGGAGCAAAACUCAGAAACAACGUCCCAGUUCGGACUGCAGGCUGCAACUCGCCUGCACGAAGUCGGAAUUGCUAGUAAUCGCAGAUCAGCAUGCUGCGGUGAAUACGUUCCCGGGCCUUGCACACACCGCCCGUCA
rnacentral:rRNA from 1 species